AGUUACCACGAGGAAUAGGGUUAAAAUGUGCUCUGCAAUGACAGAUCCCAACCCGGAACAGAUUUCAGCCAGGCAGCUAGCAGAGCUCGCCGGGUAAACUGCACAGGCCAUCGUGGGUGCAGAGCUCAGAGCCGGAAAGCAAACAGCUGCUGUAGCCUGAUUUGAGUUAAAAUAGUGUGAGUGUUUAGUCUGGCGCACGGCUUCAGGGGAGAUUGGCAGCUGGGUCAAACAAAGUCCUUCCAUUGGCUCUCUUCCCAGGCAGCUUCUGCUAGUAUUUAGGUACUAGUGCAGUGGAAGGCCCUUCUCUCAGGCAAAACCUAACAUCUGACCGCACCCUCUCUGCUUUUUCCAAAAAAAAAAAAAAAAAAAAAGCAAGCUUCUUUUUCCUUCUUUCGUUAAGAUAAAUUCUCCAGUAGACAACCUCUCCCACUAAUUGUGUAUUAGCAACGUAUUUUAUCUUGAGAGCUGACGUACUCGGCUCUUAACGUUGUGUAGAGAGCAGCCUGUUACAGUGCUGGAUUCAUAAAAGGGCCUUUAUGGUUUGUGAAAGAAUAUCUGUGUGCCUGGGCAGGAAACUUUUUGAUCUGCAGAAAAGCCAGGAGACAUCUAGGAUAUCCUUGAAGAUUAAUCAGAGAACCUUUCACUCGCCUAUAAAGGGAAAAACUUAAAAUGGAUAUGAGAAGUGAAGAAAGUGAUCAUAGGAGAAAAUCAUCUCAGGUAAAAAUAAAAAGCGA